CCUUCGGGGUACACGAGCGGCGAACGGGUGAGUAACACGUGGGUGAUCUGCCUUGCACUUCGGGAUAAGCCUGGGAAACUGGGUCUAAUACCGGAUAUGACCUCGGGAUGCAUGGGGGUGGAAAGAUUUAUCGGUGCGAGAUGGGCCCGCGGCCUAUCAGCUUGUUGGUGAGGUAACGGCUCACCAAGGCGACGACGGGUAGCCGACCUGAGAGGGUGACCGGCCACACUGGGACUGAGACACGGCCCAGACUCCUACGGGAGGCAGCAGUGGGGAAUAUUGCACAAUGGGCGAAAGCCUGAUGCAGCGACGCCGCGUGCGGGAUGACGGCCUUCGGGUUGUAAACCGCUUUUGACAGGGACGAAGCGCAAGUGACUGUACCUGUAGAAUAAGGACCGGCCAACUACGUGCCAGCAGCCGCGGUAAUACGUAGGGUCCGAGCGUUGUCCGGAAUUACUGGGCGUAAAGAGCUUGUAGGCGGUUCGUCGCGUCGUUUGUGAAAACUUGGGGCUCAACCUUAAGCUUGCAGGCGAUACGGGCGGACUAGAGUACUUCAGGGGAGACUGGAAUUCCUGGUGUAGCGGUGAAAUGCGCAGAUAUCAGGAGGAACACCGGUGGCGAAGGCGGGUCUCUGGGAAGUAACUGACGCUGAGAAGCGAAAGCAUGGGUAGCAAACAGGAUUAGAUACCCUGGUAGUCCAUGCCGUAAACGGUGGGUACUAGGUGUGGGGCUCCUUCCACGGACUCCGUGCCGUAGCUAACGCAUUAAGUACCCCGCCUGGGGAGUACGGCCGCAAGGCUAAAACUCAAAGAAAUUGACGGGGGCCCGCACAAGCGGCGGAGCAUGUGGAUUAAUUCGAUGCAACGCGAAGAACCUUACCUGGGUUUGACAUACACCAGAAACACGUAGAGAUACGUGCCCCCUUGUGGUUGGUGUACAGGUGGUGCAUGGCUGUCGUCAGCUCGUGUCGUGAGAUGUUGGGUUAAGUCCCGCAACGAGCGCAACCCUUAUCUUAUGUUGCCAGCGCGUAAUGGCGGGGACUCGUGAGAGACUGCCGGGGUCAACUCGGAGGAAGGUGGGGACGACGUCAAGUCAUCAUGCCCCUUAUGUCCAGGGCUUCACACAUGCUACAAUGGCCGGUACAGAGGGCUGCGAUACCGUGAGGUGGAGCGAAUCCCUUAAAGCCGGUCUCAGUUCGGAUCGGGGUCUGCAACUCGACCCCGUGAAGUUGGAGUCGCUAGUAAUCGCAGAUCAGCAACGCUGCGGUGAAUACGUUCCCGGGCCUUGUACACACCGCCCGUCACGUCAUGAAAGUCGGUAACACCCGAAGCCGGUGGCCUAACCCCUUGUGGGAGGGAGCCGU
rnacentral:rRNA from 1 species